UUGUCCUGUCUCGUUGGACAUUACUGUGCUGAUGAAAUCACCAGCAGGGAGGCCAUGCUGCUUGCUAUGGUUUGCCCUGCAGGCCUGUUGUGCCCCGAAGGACAGGCAGUCGCUCCAGAUCCCAAUGGAAAUGCCUGCCCAAGAGGAUACUACUGUCCCCGGGGUGAUAUUGACUCUCAUGCUAGACCUUGCCCUAAUGGAACCUAUAGUGAGCAGAAGGGUCUGGGCAGAGUGGAUGAAUGCUUGCUAUGUCCUGCAGGGAAGUACUGCUACAGGGAAUGGAGAGAGCCCCGAGGAAUUCCCCAUCCAACUGGAGACUGCCCCCCAGGAUACAUGUGCCCCCCAGGGACUGGAUUCCCCUUCUCUUUUCCCUGUCUGCCUGGCUUCUACUGGGAUAGUUCUGCUGUGGAAGGAAGAAAUACUUGCAAACCAUGUCCUGCAGGGUACUAUUGUGACUCUCCUGCCAUGACACAGCCCAAAACUUGCCCAGCUGGUUCUUACUGUGCCAGAGGUAGCUCCCGUCCUGAGCCCUGCCCAGAGGGCACAUAUGGUAGCAGAAAGGAGCUGGCUGUGCUACUGGACUGCAGCCCGUGUGGAGGUGGGUUCUACUGUGCUGGCCAAGGACAGACAGGCC
rnacentral:lncRNA from 1 species